ACAUCCUAGAAGGAAUGUUAGAAGUCAGAGUAUUCUAUCAAGAUCCUGAAAGAGGAAUAUUGCCAGGAUUUGUUCACCAAGACUGGUUAAUGGAUAAAGAUUAAUCUCUUCACACUACCCUUGAGGACCAGCCUUUUUUGGCACACUUGAAAAUGAGAGCUAUGGCAAAGACAGAGCCAAAAGUGUGCAGGGCUUCCUGUGACAGAAAACUUCUCUACGCUUGAAACAGUGAAGGCGCUACUCAGAUUCUGCGUUCUUCAGAGCUGCAUUUGCCAGCAUGAAGGUAAAAUAAGAGCAACUGUUUAAUACAAAUAAGACUGUUAUUCUUGGCUUAUUAUGAAUGGACAACCCGCUGUUUUGCUCUCAGUCAAUGAAGUGUGAAUUCACUUGGAAAGCCACUUGGCCACCUAAUCCGUUAAAAAUAGCCAAAAACUUUCUUAACCUGUAAGUAUUUUCUUCCUCUGCUCUAUUAACACAAGGGGAAAAAAACCCACCAAGAUUAGCUAAUGAAAAUCUAUCACAAUAGCAAUCACAACAUUACUUUCAAGAGGGAUAUGCAUGGGUCAAAAUAAACAAUGUAAUUUUCAGCUAAUUGCAAACGUGCUCUGAGCUCGUGAAGAAAACAUGGCAUAUUUAGUCCUGGCAUGAAUGAAUCCUGCUCUGAUGAAACUUUGACCUCAUUGUUUCUGAUGGCCUGAGUAGCCAGAGUUAUCGGGACACAGCCUUGGAUGGGAUGAGUCAUUCCCUUGCAACACCUGUUUCUCUCCACUGACUACCAAGGAGAAACCAAGACAACCAGCUCCAAAGCAGAAGUCUGUAUUUGGACAGGCAAAUCCUUCCUGCUCUGUUUCUUCCCAAGCACAGCAUGCAGUUCACAGAUUAACCAACUACUACCAACUACUAUAGGAUCUGAAGAGCCUGGUGUACCUGCACAGUCUGGGGAAUUUCCUCAAAGAUCAUAACCUCAAAAACACAAAGAGGCUGAAAAAUCUACCAUUGACCUAAGGCAGCAGCAGUCUGACUGGAAAGGAACAGAUUUCUUGAGGACUGUCCAGUCUAUAAACAGCCAACCACAUAAUUCAGUGACACACUGAAAAUCGCUAGACACGACUCAAAAAUCUUCCUCACCUUGCUGACAGGAACAUUCCUGGGCCAACUCUUCUGGCCACGAGUACUCUCCUCAUCACUGGAUAUGAGCUGCGUUGUUCACAGCAACCUAUGCCAAUAGACUCCUGACUCCUCUAGGUUAUGAGGCAAAUCUCAGGUUUUCACAGAUCAGCCAGACCAGGCUCUUCACUUCAAAAAGGUCAAAAGUCUUCAAAUCAUCUUCAAGUUCCCAUAUGACUAUGGGAAUUAAUAUAUGGGUAUAUUUUGAAAAGUCAGCAGGAUUUUCAUUCCCAAGUCAAAACUAUUACGUGAGCAAAGAAAACAUUUUCCUGUACAAACUAUCUUAUGUCCCGUACUAUCCUAUUCAAACAGCAUUUCAAGCUAUGUUUGGAGACAAACACCACCGCUGAUAACUCACAAAUGGGUAAUAUGACACAGAGCGCUUUAAGAGUAUUACUGUAUUCCAUUCUAAUGCCACUGAAACACUCCAUUUUACAAAAUGGGAAACUGAGAUGCAAAAGGGCUAUUACUGUACUGCAUUUGUAAUUUCACGUUAUGUAAAAAAGUACAGACCUGCUGUUGCAGAAAUAAUGCAAGAGGAUUUAGAAUUUGCAUUUGCUCACAGUGUCACCGAAGAUCAUGUACAAAAUGAAAGGUUAUUUUUGUUCAAAAUGAGUCAGAAAAGACCAUGACACAAUAAAAAAUUUGUCAGCAAGA